rnacentral:rRNA from 1 species
UACAGAGGGUGCGAGCGUUUGUCCGGAAUCACUGGGCGUAAAGGGCGCGUAGGCGGGCGAUCAAGCGUGCGGUGAAAGCUCGGGGCUCAACUCCGAGUCGGCCGUGCGAACUGGUUGUCUAGAGUCUGGUAGAGGUCGAUGGAAUUCCGGGUGUAGCGGUGGAAUGCGUAGAGAUCCGGAAGAACACCGGUGGCGAAGGCGGUCGACUGGGCCAGUACUGACGCUGAUGCGCGACAGCGUGGGGAGCAAACGAGGAUUAGAAAACCCGUUGU